CUAAUAUGGCAGAAUAGUGCGAUGGAUUUAAGCCCCAUCCAAAAAGCUAAAGCUUUUUUUAGAA
rnacentral:tRNA from 1 species